rnacentral:lncRNA from 1 species
CCCUAAAUAGAGUUUGGUGAGUUUUCAGUUCCUUUAUAUAGUCAUCAGUAGGGUUUAAAUAACCUGCCCAUUCACCAUAGCAAAAUAAGGAGUUGCAGAGAAAGUGGAAUCUUUGGGGUGCUUGUAAAGUAAUGGAGGACCUCUGGAAAACAUUAAUAUGCAAAUAACACUGCAGAUGCAACCACUGAUAUAAACAACUACUGCCUUGCAGAAAUAGUCUCAUUAGGAGUCUCCAAUGUGGCGCAGUGUGUUAAGAAUCCGACUGUGGUGGCUUGGGUCAUUGUGGAGGUUCAGGUUCAAUACCCAGCCCUGCUUGUGGGGUUAAAGGAUCUGGCAUUGCCACAGCUGUGGCUCAGAUUUAAUCCCUGAACUGGGAACUUCCAUAUGCCUCAGGUGUGACCAUACCAAAAAAAAAAAAAAAGAAAAAGAAAAAGAAAAAAAAUGAAAGAAAAGAAAUAUUCUUGUUAAUGAAGUUGGAUAUACUCUUACAGGUGUGAAGACUCGGUAGGUGAGCUGUCUGAAGUUCUAGAUGCAAUAUGUGGCUUUAUCCAUGUAAAUUAUCAGUGACUAAUUCCAACCACUAAAGUAAACUUUAUUUUUCUCACCUGUAAACAGGGCUAAAUCGCUGCUCCCUUGACUGCCUCACAUGGCUGUUUGCAAAAUCACGUGAAGAGUAUGGAAUUUAUAACUUUUAAUGUACUAAGCACAUGUAUAUUGCUUUUUAUUAUGUAGAACCCUAUUGGAACUCAAAUUCAUAGAAAACUGCAUUUGCUAGAGUUACUGCCUAGAGCCUUUCUCCCACAGUCCACAUCAUUCCUUCUUGGCUGUUGAUGAUGGCUUAUUGCUUCUGCUUUGGCCCCUCUUCUCUCUGAUCCUCAGUUUGAGUGACCUGGGAUCCAGAUAAGUGUGGGUCUAGACACGUGAGGUUAUUUGUAUCAAAGCCUCAUUGAGUACAAACAUACACCAAGGAGUUCCCUGGUGGCGAAGAGGAUUAAGGAUCAAGCAUAGUCACUGCAACAGCUCGGGUCAUUGCUGUGGCACAGUUUCGAACCCUGGCCUGGAAACUUCCAUUUGCCAUGGGUGUGGUGAAAAAAAAGAGGCGGGGGGGGGGGGGGGGGGGGAGAUGUAAAACUAGAAUAAACCAAUACCUGGAUUUCCCGGAGUUUCUUCUCUCUUGCUGUGUCUCACAAUUGAGUGUGUGAAGAUUUCCUGAAAAUGGUUUCGGGAAUAUCAUUUUAUCAUGGAGCCCUGACAAACCUCUUUGGCUUUCUACAUAGUCAUAAAAGACAUAACAGAUUUUCAGGCUUUUUGAGUUUCCUCCAGUGUUGUAUUUUGCUUGCAUUGUUAGUCAUGGGGAAAAAAAAAAUCUAAUCCCAAGUGUACUAGGGGUCCACACAGAGUACAAAAGUGACCUAAACAUUUGGAUGUAAAUGUAUUGAGUACUUAGAAGAGACAGUUAACACUCCUUUAUGCUUAUUUUUGAGUGGUUGGAUGUUUCUCAAUAGCCCUUCUUGCGACCUUUUUUUUUGUCCCCUAAUGUGUGUAUGUGAGAGUGUGUGUUUGUAUCCCUGCACCUGUGACUCUUAAUAUGCCCUUUUGUAUGUGUCUUUGUCACCUUUUCCCCACAGCAGAGCUGCCUGUGGUCCUUGGCUUCACAGACCUUGAGUGAAGACAGGACCUUCAGAUUUGACUCCUGUCCUUGGGCUGCCAGACGCUUCAACCUUUUUUCAACUUCCCUCCUCUCUGAUCAUCUGGUUCCCCCACUGGGCUGUCAGGGGACUCCAGUAGGGCCCCUGCCUGGAUCUGACAUCAGAAGACCUGAGCUAAAGCCAGACCCCUGCUGUGUACACAUUCUCUGAUGAGUAGCAUGGGUUCUUUCUAACAGAAGAAUUACUUAACACUUCUUAUCCAGGGGGAACCAAACACCCACACAUGGUCCAAAUACGCCUUCCUAGUGAUGGGAAAGCAAUGGUAGGAGCACUUGGAGGUGGCCCAGUAAGGGCAGCCUGGUUGGGUCUAUAGCCACCAAACGGCCCAAGACCAGAGACUCAGGUUCUGCCUUCUGUACUGUGCUCUGGUUUUUCUCUUGAAAAUAAAGACGAAGAGUUCCUGCUAUGGCCCGGGGGUUAAAAAUCCAACCCCAGAGGCUUGGGUUGCUGCAGAGGUGAGGUGCAAGUUUGAUCCUUGGCCUGGCAGCGUGAGUUAAAGGAUCCUGUGUGGUUGCAGCUGCGGCAUAGGUUGCAGCUGCGGCAUAGGUUGCAGCUGCAGCUUGGAUGCAGUCUCUGGCCCAGGAACUUCCAUAUGUUGUGGGGGCAACCAUAAAAAAUAAUAAUAAUAAAAAUAAAAAUAAAUAAAAGAUAAAAAAAAAAGAUGAAAACCCAGACCUUUAUCCUAGCAGAGUAUUACUUACCAUUAGCCCUGACCUAGAUACUUUGGGGAAUAUGAAAGAAGAUAAUUCUUUACUCAUACAAUUUGUACAAUAGUUGAAGAGAGAAUUCAAAUAAGAGUAAAGUAAGGAGUUCCCGUUGUAGCUCAGCAGAAACGAAUCUGACCAGUAAACAUGAGGACGCAGGUUUGAUCCCUGGCCUCACUCAGUGGGUUAAGGAUCCGGCAUUGCUGUGAGCUGUGCUGUAGUUUGCAGAUGCAGCUUGGAUCCAGAAUUACUGAGUCUGUGGUGUGGGCCGGCAUCUGUAGCUCCGAUUCCCUAGCCUGGGAACUUCUAUAUGCUGCAGGUGCAGCC